rnacentral:rRNA from 1 species
CAGCCGCCGCGGUAAUACGGAGGGAGCUAGCGUUGUUCGGAAUUACUGGGCGUAAAGCGCACGUAGGCGGUUAUUCAAGUCAGAGGUGAAAGCCCGGGGCUCAACCCCGGAACUGCCUUUGAAACUAGAUGACUGGAAUCUUGGAGAGGUCAGUGGAAUUCCGAGUGUAGAGGUGAAAUUCGUAGAUAUUCGGAAGAACACCAGUGGCGAAGGCGACUGACUGGACAAGUAUUGACGCUGAGGUGCGAAAGCGUGGGGAGCAAACAGGAUUAGAUACCCGCGUAGUCCCUGUCUCUUAUAC